AGGCCUGCGGGUUGUAAAGCACUUUCAGUAGAGAAGAAAAGCCUGGAGUUAAUACCUCCGGGUCUUGACGUAACCUACAGAAGAAGCACCGGCUAACUCCGUGCCAGCAGCCGCGGUAAUACGGAGGGUGCGAGCGUUAAUCGGAAUUACUGGGCGUAAAGCGCACGUAGGCGGCUGGGUCAGUCGGAUGUGAAAGCCCCGGGCUUAACCUGGGAACUGCAUUCGAUACUGCCCAGCUAGAGUAUGGGAGAGGGAAGCGGAAUUUCCGGUGUAGCGGUGAAAUGCGUAGAUAUCGGAAGGAACACCAGUGGCGAAGGCGACUUCCUGGGCCAAUACUGACGCUGAGGCGCGAAAGCUGGGGGAGCGAACGGGAUUAGAUACCCCGGUAGUCCCAGCCGUAAACGAUGGGCACUAGGUGUGGGAGGUAUUGACCCCUUCCGUGCCGUAGCUAACGCAUUAAGUGCCCCGCCUGGGGAGUACGACCGCAAGGUUGAAACUCAAAGGAAUUGACGGGGGCCCGCACAAGCGGUGGAGCAUGUGGUUUAAUUCGACGCAACGCGAAGAACCUUACCAGGGCUUGACAUGCCGGUAGUACCGACCUGAAAGGGAAGGGAGCCCGCAAGGGAAGCCGGCACAGGUGGUGCAUGGCUGUCGUCAGCUCGUGUCGUGAGAUGUUGGGUUAAGUCCCGCAACGAGCGCAACCCUCACCCUCUGUUGCCA
rnacentral:rRNA from 1 species